rnacentral:rRNA from 1 species
UCAUACGGGAGGCAGCAGUGGGGAAUCUUCCGCAAUGGACGAAAGUCUGACGGAGCAACGCCGCGUGAACGAUGACGGCCUUCGGGUUGUAAAGUUUUGUUAUACGGGACGAAUGGUACGACGGCCAAUACCCGUCGUAAGUGACGGUACCGUAAGAGAAAGCCACGGCUAACUACGUGCCAGCAGCCGCGGUAAUACGUAGGUGGCAAGCGUUGUCCGGAAUUAUUGGGCGUAAAGGGCGCGCAGGCGGCGUCGUAAGUCGGUCUUAAAAGUGCGGGGCUUAACCCCGUGAGGGGACCGAAACUGCGAUGCUAGAGUAUCGGAGAGGAAAGCGGAAUUCCUAGUGUAGCGGUGAAAUGCGUAGAUAUUAGGAGGAACACCAGUGGCGAAAGCGGCUUUCUGGACGACAACUGACGCUGAGGCGCGAAAGCCAGGGGAGCAAACGGGAUUAGAUACCCCGGUAGUCCUGGCCGUAAACGAUGGAUACUAGGUGUAGGAGGUAUCGACCCCUUCUGUGCCGGAGUUAACGCAAUAAGUUCCCGC